UGACGAUCUUUUUUUUUCUUUGGGGCGGAACCAAAAUUAUGGAAGUUUGGUUCCGCCCGGAAGUGUUUCCGCCCGGACCGGAAAAGACGAACACCGGACUUCCGGUAAGCGCCGCGAGCGGGAAAAUCUGCAAAUUCAAUGCACCUGUGCCUAGUUAGGAACAGCGGUUGGCGAUUGGAGGAUACGCCAAGCAAGGCAGUACUUAAGGCCAAGUUUAUUCACAGUUUGGGAAGCUUUUUGGCUGAAGCCGUAUGGUUGUGGAAGGCAUCGCGAACCUUAAAGGUUGAAAAACACACGGAGUAUUUGGUGAAUUGAGACCAAGAGAAAACGGGGAUUGAAACCGACAUUGUUGUGAGUACCAAGUGCAAGUUGUAAAUGCCUUGUGUAAUGAUCUAGCCAUAUGUUAGAUUCCUCCAGGAGGAAGAGAACGGCCCUACCCCUAUUAUAGCGUGGUGGGUGAGCCGAGUGGACGUUUUACUGAAGCAGUCACAACGACGACACCACUAGCUGGGCCGCAUUAUCCAUCGCCAGAUCUGACUGAAGUGAAGUAAAGGAAGACGGGAGUCCUUUUUGUGCACUGAGCAUGAUCUCAGAAAGUAGCACGGUGCCCCGGGACGAUCCUUUCCCGCCUAGACAUUUGGUGGGUGGUGCGAGCGACAACGAAGAGCUGGAGAAGCAGCAGCAUUGUGAGUACGAUUUGUGGCUAUUACCAUUCAAUACUGUAAACUGUGCGAGUCUUAUUGUUGCAGAGAGCGAGGUGAAGUGAUUCUCAUCGUCCCGUGGCCUCUACAAAGGGGCGCCCCUGUCCAGAGUUCGAACGUCUGACGGCAGCGAGGAAAGGGAAGCGCUCGGCCCGGUGAGACGUUGAGUUAUUCCACCCCCCCUGCCACCGCACAGCCGUCGAGAGGGUUCGCCCCCGACGCCACGUAGGGACGACUUACUCCAUCAGACGUUUCGCCCAAGCGGAUACCUGUGAAGGAAAGAACAGAGAAAGUGAAUAACCUGAGGAGAGAUCGAAGAAACCUGUACUUACGGUACGCUGUGUCCAGGAGAGAGGUGAGAGCCAUUCAAAGCCAAUUAACUGUGCUUCUGUGUCCAAGUUGAUACCUGUGAAGGAAAGAAAAGAGAAAGUGAAUAACCUGAGGAGAGAUCGAAGAAACCUGUACUUACGGUACGCUGUGUCCAGCAGAGAGGUGAGAACCAUUCCAAGCCGAUUAACUGUGCUUUGUGCCUAAGUUGUUACCUGUGGAGAAGAAAGAGGAAAUACUGAGUGACCCGACAAAACAUUGCGAAAGUGCGAGGAAGAGCCCACACCAGGGAGACCCAGGUACGCAGCCUAAAUAAAAAUCCACAACACUCAUUCACUUUUGAUUCUGCCUCCAGGAGGACAAAGGAGCGCGCCACGGGUAGUAUAGACCAGGUUGGAGCCUGAGUCCUCAGUGUCCUGGACAUUCCGUUGCCCCUUGUUCCCUGUCCGUGGCCCACCUGGAGGGCAGAGACAGACAUUAGUUUUAAUUCCCCCCUCCCCAUUUCCCAAGAACAUUUUAAAUAUUUAAUGAAUAAAUAAAAGAUUGUUUUUAUACUUACCUGCCCUUGUUGUUGUCUGGUCAUUGGGUUGGCUUUGGGGACCUCCUCGAGGUGGAAGUUGAAGAGGGGCGUGGCUUUAGCCUACUGACAG